GGCCGAGUGGUGUAGUUGGUUAUCACGUUUCGUUAACAUUUCAUAUGUUGACGCCGAAAAGGUCCUCAGUUCGAGUCUGGGCUUGGUCA